rnacentral:piRNA from 1 species
UGACUGUGUGCUUACCUUCUUGG